rnacentral:rRNA from 1 species
CGCGACCCCAGGUCAGGCGGGGCUACCCGCUGAGUUUAAGCAUAUCAAUAAGCGGAGGAAAAG